UACAGAGGUCUCAAGCGUUGUUCGGAUUCAUUGGGCGUAAAGGGUGCGUAGGUGGCGCCGUAAGUCGGGUGUGAAAUUUCGGAGCUUAACUCCGAAACUGCAUUCGAUACUGCGGUGCUUGAGGACUGGAGAGGAGACUGGAAUUCAUGGUGUAGCAGUGAAAUGCGUAGAGAUCUGGAAGAACACCAAAGGCGAAGGCAGCGUCCUGGCAAGUCACUGACGCUCAGGUGCGAAAGCUAGGGGAGCGAACGGG
rnacentral:rRNA from 1 species